rnacentral:rRNA from 1 species
CGAAGGGGGCUAGCGUUGCUCGGAAUGACUGGGCGUAAAGGGCGCGUAGGCGGUUCGUACAGUCAGACGUGAAAUUCCCGGGCUCAACCUGGGGGCUGCGUUUGAUACGUGCGGGCUCGAGUUCGGAAGAGGGUCGUGGAAUUCCCAGUGUAGAGGUGAAAUUCGUAGAUAUUGGGAAGAACACCGGUGGCGAAGGCGGCGACCUGGUCCGAUACUGACGCUGAGGCGCGAAAGCGUGGGGAGCAAACAGGAUUAGAUACCCUGGUAGUCCACGCCGUAAACGAUGUGUGCUGGAUGUUGGGCAGUCUGACUGUUCAGUGUCGUAGCUAACGCGAUAAGCACACCGCCUGGGGAGUACGGCCGCAAGGUUG